rnacentral:misc_RNA from 1 species
GANUGGUGGUUGGUGUGUUUGGNCAUGUCGGAUCCCUGCUCGGGCAGNGACGGCAUCUCCCGCACGCCACUUCAUUCGUUGGAGCAAGUUAUAGCUUGUCCGUUGUCGGUUAUCCUGUGUUGCGUACCUUACGAGGGCAUUCGAAUGGCUAAUACGAUCCCAUCUCCGCCUUGUACCGGUGCUCCGUGCGGGCUCGCGGUGCGGGGCGGAUCUCACGGCGUGCGUCGUGUUUCGCGCCGCAUUCACCUUCAUUGGUGUUUGGGUAGGCGACACUCGACGUGCUGCCCGUUGUCUUGGUUGCGGAACAUCGGGUGGGUACGAGGCAUCGACCUCCGAUCACCACACAAAUGCGUUCUACGCUCUAUGCGGACGACUGCUGCACUCGGCUUUCGGCGGGGCACUCGCUGCUCGGUCGAAGCCGUGUCGGCGUCGGUGAGGGAUGC